CUCAAAGGGAUGGAUAUAAAUGAAAUAAUUAAACCGGAAAAUACAUCUUCAGAAAGAUGAUACAAAAAAAUGCCGUGUUUACUAAUCUUGCAUUCAUAUCUCCCAAAUUAUAAUAGUUGUCAUUAAAAGAUGAUUAUAUAUACAUGAAAGUAUGUAUCUUUUCCAGAUUUAUGCAACUGAGGCAUAUUACUACUGUGGUUUUGCAUGAAAAUGCAUCAAGGUAUUCUCAGAUAACCAUAAGUUGGUUAUGGCUGCCUGGAAGUCCUGGUCUGAUACAUUAUGGAGCCUCACAAAAUCCUCCUGCUACAACAGCAAGAACUUUCCUUCUGUGUAAGCUGUCCCAGGAAGAUGACACCAGUAUCUAACAAAAAAGGAACUGAAGCAUCACUGUAGAAGAAGGGAAUUGCAACAGGAAGAAGGCUUCUGAAAUGCAGUAAUUAGAGUUUAAC
rnacentral:lncRNA from 1 species